GAGGGUGGGGCUCAGUGGUAGAGCACACGCUUAGUGUGCAUGAGGUCCUGGGUUCAACCCCCAGCACCUCCA
rfam:Camelus ferus unplaced genomic scaffold scaffold968, whole genome shotgun sequence.